UCUUAAGGAGUUCUUGCAAAUUUUGCUUGCGGCUUCAGAGCCCGUAUCUAGAUCACCACGAUGACUGCACAGAAGUUGAUGAGAGCUGUUAGAGUUUUUGAAUUUGGUGGACCAGAAGUGCUGAAACUCCAGUCAGAUGUUGCAGUACUGAUUCCCAAAGACUUUGAGGUUCUAAUCAAGGUCCAUGCAUGUGGUGUCAACCCCAUGGAGACAUACAUUCGCUCUGGUACUUACAGUAGAAAACCAGUCUUACCCUAUACUCCUGGCUCAGACGUGGCUGGGCUAAUAGAAGCUGUUGGAGAUAAUGUAUCUGCUUUCAAGAAAGGUGACAGAGUUUUCACCACCGGCACGAUCUCUGGGGGCUAUGCAGAAUAUGCUCUUGCAGCAGAUCACACUGUUUACAAACUGCCUGAAAAACUGGACUUUAAACAAGGAGCUGCCAUUGGUAUCCCAUAUUUUAGUGCUUAUCGAGCUCUGAUCCACAGUGCCCGUGCGAAAGCUGGAGAAACUGUUCUGGUUCAUGGGGCUAGUGGAGGAGUUGGAAUAGCAACAUGACAAAUUGCGAGAGCUUAUGGCUUAAAGGUUUUGGGCACAGCUAGUACUGAGGAGGAACAAAAGAUUGUUUUGCAAAAUGGAGCCCAUGAAGUGUUUAACCACAGAGAAGUUAAGUAUGUUGAUAAAAUUAAGAAAUCUGUUGUUGGUGAGAAAGGAAUUGAUGUGAUUAUUGAAAUGUUAGCUAAUGUAAAUCUUAACAAGGAUUUGAAUCUUCUGUCACAUGGAGGACAAGUAAUAGUUGUUGGCAGCAGAGGAACUAUUGAAAUAAACCCACGGGACAUCAUGGUAAAGGAAUGCAGUAUACUUGGAGUUACUUUCUUUUCCUCAACCAAGGAGGAUUUUUCAGCAAUUUGCAGCAGCCCUUCAAGCUGGAAUGGAAGUCGGUUGGUUGAAACCUGUAAUAGGUCCUCAGUAUCCGUUGAGAAGGUGGCCGAGGCUCAUGAGAAUAUCAUUCAUGGCAGUGGGGCUGCUGGGAAAAUGGUUCUUCUCUUACGAUGAUUAAU